rnacentral:rRNA from 1 species
AGUGAACGCUGGCGGUAGGCCUAACACAUGCAAGUCGAACGGCAGCACAGUAAGAGCUUGCUCUUACGGGUGGCGAGUGGCGGACGGGUGAGGAAUACAUCGGAAUCUACUUUUUCGUGGGGGAUAACGUAGGGAAGCUUACGCUAAUACCGCAUACGACCUACGGGUGAAAGCAGGGGAUCUUCGGACCUUGCGCGAUUGAAUGAGCCGAUGUCGGAUUAGCUAGUUGGCGGGGUAAAGGCCCACCAAGGCGACGAUCCGUAGCUGGUCUGAGAGGAUGAUCAGCCACACUGGAACUGAGACACGGUCCAGACUCCUACGGGAGGCAGCAGUGGGGAAUAUUGGACAAUGGGCGCAAGCCUGAUCCAGCCAUACCGCGUGGGUGAAGAAGGCCUUCGGGUUGUAAAGCCCUUUUGUUGGGAAAGAAAGGCAGCAGGUUAAUACCCCGCUGUUCUGACGGUACCCAAAGAAUAAGCACCGGCUAACUUCGUG